AUCCAGGUGACGAGUCCCAAAUAGGACGAAGUGGGCAUUGUCCUGGAU
rfam:Trichobilharzia regenti genome assembly, scaffold: TRE_scaffold0000653